rnacentral:rRNA from 1 species
UACGGAGGGUGCAAGCGUUAAUCGGAAUUACUGGGCGUAAAGCGCACGUAGGUUGUCCUGUAAGUCAGGGGUGAAAGCCCGCGGCUCAACUGCGGAACUGCCCUUGAUACUGCAGGACUCGGAUCCGGGAGAGGUCAGCGGAAUUCCAGGUGUAGGAGUGAAAUCCGUAGAUAUCUGGAGGAACAUCAGUGGCGAAGGCGGCUGACUGGACCGGCAUUGACGCUGAGGUGCGAAAGCGUGGGUAGCAAAC